GACGAACGCUGGCGGCGUGCUUAACACAUGCAAGUCGAACGGAAAGGCCCUGCUUUUGUGGUGUUCUCGAGUGGCGAACGGGUGAGUAACACGUGUGUAACCUGCCCUUUACUUUGGGAUAACUUCAGGAAACUGGGGCUAAUACCGGAUAGUAGCUCCUGCUGCAUGGUGGGGGUUGGAAAGUUUCGGCGGUUGGGGAUGGACUCGCGGCUUAUCAGCUUGUUGGUGGGGUAGUGGCUUACCAAGGCUUUGACGGGUAGCCGGCCUGAGAGGGUGACCGGCCACAUGGCGACUGAGAUACGGGCAAGACGCCGACGGGAGGCAGCAGUGGGGAAUAUUGCACAAUGGGCGGAAGCCUGAGGCAGAGAAGCCGGGGGUGGGAUGACGGCCUUCGGGGUGUAAACAGCUGUCGCCUGUGACGAAGCGGGAGUGACGGUAAUGGGUAAAGAAGCACCGGCUAACUACGUG
rnacentral:rRNA from 1 species